CCUACGGGAGGCAGCAGUGAGGAAUAUUGGUCAAUGGCCGCAGGGCUGAACCAGCCAAGUCGCGUGAGGGAUGACGGUCCUAUGGAUUGUAAACCUCUUUUGUCAGGGAGCAAAGGGCGCCACGUGUGGCGCUUUGCGAGUACCUGAAGAAAAAGCAUCGGCAAACUCCGUGCCAGCAGCCGCGGUAAUACGGAGGAUGCGAGCGUUAUCCGGAUUUAUUGGGUUAAAAGGGUGCGCAGGCGGAAUGUCAAGUCAGCGGUAAAAUUUCGGGGCUCAACCCCGUCGUGCCGUUGAAACUGGCGUUCUUGAGUGAGCGAGAAGUAUGCGGAAUGUGUGGUGUAGCGGUGAAAUGCAUAGAUAUCACGCAGAACUCCGAUUGCGAAGGCAGCAUACCGGCGCUCAACUGACGCUCAUGCACGAAAGCGUGGGUAUCGAACAGGAUUAGAUACCCUGGUAGUC
rnacentral:rRNA from 1 species